GACGAACCGUCCAAACGUUAUUCGGAAUCACUGGGCUUAAAGCGUGUGUAGGCGGGCCGUUAAGUGUCUUGUGAAAUCCCCCGGCUCAACCGGGGAAUUGCUGGGCAUACUGGCGGUCUUGAGCAGUUCAGGGGCAGAUGGAACAAGUGGUGGAGCGGUGAAAUGCGUAGAUAUCACUUGGAACGCCAGCGGUGAAAACAGUCUGCUGGGAACUUGCUGACGCUGAGACACGAAAGCCAGGGGAGCGAGCGGG
rnacentral:rRNA from 1 species